rnacentral:rRNA from 1 species
ACGCUCGACACCUACGGGAGGCAGCAGUGGGGAAUAUUGCACAAUGGGGGAAACCCUGAUGCAGCGACGCCGCGUGAAGGAAGAAGUAUCUCGGUAUGUAAACUUCUAUCAGCAGGGAAGAAAAUGACGGUACCUGACUAAGAAGCCCCGGCUAACUACGUGCCGGCAGCCGCGGUAAUCUGAGCGGGCUGGCAAGGC